CCUACGGGUGGCAGCAGUGAGGAAUAUUGGUCAAUGGACGAGAGUCUGAACCAGCCAAGUAGCGUGAAGGAUGACUGCCCUAUGGGUUGUAAACUUCUUUUAUAUGGGAAUAAAAUGUUCCACGUGUGGGAUUUUGUAUGUACCAUAUGAAUAAGGAUCGGCUAACUCCGUGCCAGCAGCCGCGGUAAUACGGAGGAUCCGAGCGUUAUCCGGAUUUAUUGGGUUUAAAGGGAGCGUAGGUGGAUUGUUAAGUCAGUUGUGAAAGUUUGCGGCUCAACCGUAAAAUUGCAGUUGUAACUGGCAGUCUUGAGUACAGUAGAGGUGGGCGGAAUUCGUGGUGUAGCGGUGAAAUGCUUAGAUAUCACGAAGAACUCCGAUUGCGAAGGCAGUUCACUGGACUGCAACUGACACUGAGGCUCGAAAGUGUGGGUAUCAAACAGGAUUAGAUACCCGAGUAGUC
rnacentral:rRNA from 1 species